rnacentral:misc_RNA from 1 species
CACAUACAACAUACAAUACAGUUCGAACGAAGAACACUCCGCACUCCGCAAACAGUCGUAUUCUGUGAAGUUUCUUUAUAGUAUGAGUAGGUCAAACAUAAGCAACAGGUGUAAUGCGGAUAUGAAUAUUGUUAAAAGUCCGAGAAUUUUAAUCAUUAAUCGAAAGUAAAAGCUUGGAAGCUGAAGAAACUGUCCACGCAAUAAAUACAGUGAAAAAUGGGGUUAAUCAAGAGAUAGUGUUUUUAAUUAAUAAGGAAGUUUUGUGAGCAUUUUUCCCGUUUAGUAGUGACACUAAAAUUAUCUCGGUUCACACAUAAAUUAUGUAAAUAUUCAGAGUGAUCUGUGCCAGAAACAAAUGCGAAUCGCGAUAAGAUAUCUCGUUUUUUUGUUUAGUCAACGAAAUACUCCGGAUUAAUCAGAGAUUAGUUGGAUAUAUAGAAGAUAUUUUUACAACAUGCCCCUGAGCACAGUUUGUGUCAGUACUGUGAGCAGUAGACCAAGGACUUGGUCGUCAUAUUCGAAUAUCCGUGCCAAAGAUGUUCACGAAAUUUUCAUCAUGAACAGUACCGAAGAUAUAGUUGUAUACAAAGAUCCCGCUGAACCUUUCCAUUCGCCCAGCCUUCAACGACGAACUUUAGGAUGCAGCUACGAUUUUCCCGAAAAGUCUAACAAAAAAGACAAGAAAUGGUCCAUAAGUAGCAUAUUUCGACGAAAGAAGAAAGAAGAGAGCGAAAGCACUAGCGAAGAAGAUGUACAGAAGAAAGGUUUCCUCGGAAGACGGAGAAAGAAAUCUGAAACUCGAAAGAAACGGAAUGUUAAGCCGUCAGUCCCAUUCGACCACGUGGUUCUUCACCCAGGCUCCAGAAAUUCACUCAGCUAUAAUGGAUAUAACUACGGGGAAGAUGUCGGCGUACUAUCAGAUCCUACGGCAGGCUUUUCGAAUUACAUAGGUAGAGCCCUGCCCCAAAUACCUCCAUCUGAUUCUGGCCAAAACUUUAGCCGAGAAUCAUUAAAUCAAUCUUCUAAUAACAAUUUACUAACUGGUUCCGUAGAUAGUGUGAGAAAAAGUCGAAAGGAACUGACCAAAGCUCGAGCUGAAGCAAGGAGAACUUGUUCCAAAAAUGGCAGCAGUUCGGAGGAAGAAUCUCAACACUCCAAUGGUUCCCUACAAAUCCGCAGUGAGGAAAAUCUGAAGAUAGAGAAACAAUACAGCAAGCGUACACGAGCAGCUAGAACUGAAAGAUAUUUAAAACGACAUUCACGUGAUGGUGAAAAUCCUCAUAAUUAUUUAAGACUGUCAAAAUCAGACGUAGAAAAUUCUCCAAUGAACUGGAAGUACUCAGAUGACAGUGCUAGAUCACCGAGUCGGAGUCCUCUAGUUCCAAAAUCUUUAGUAUCUCCGGAAAACAAUCAUAAACUUUCAUUUUCUAGUUUGAACUCUCAAAGUUCUGGACUAACAACGAUUCCUCCUAGUCAUGCUAACAAUGGAAGAUACAGAGUUAGCAAUUCCACCAGUAAUCCUUCAUACAAACCUCCACAAUCCAUGAACGAUUAUAAUAAUAGCAUUAAAAAACACACUCAAAAAUUCUUUCCUGAUUAUAGAAGCGUUUCUUGUGAUGCUAAUAUACACAAAGCUCCAUCAGCUGAAUUUUCGCCAGAAAUACUCCAUGUGCAAUUCCCAGUCAUGAGACCGAAACGAGGAUUUCGGAAUUUGAGCCUCAUAGAUACAUCUCAAAUUAACAAUUUAAGACAACCCCCUCCCCCACCCCCAAGAGAUCCAAAUCGAACGUACGGUAAUCAGUAUCUUGAUAACGGUAGACCAAAUACGUUUUAUUUUGACAACUCUGGACAUACCAAAUCAAAAUCGUUUAACCAUGCUUUACACAGCGAACAAAAUCCAAGAAAGUUUAAUUCUUUUAACCUUCAUCCCAACUAUAGAUCUACAUCAGAGGACCAGCUAACUAGAAACAGUCUGAGUGUUCAAUUGCAAUGUCGACCAUCAUCCACAACUCCGGAAUUCACACGUUCGCAUAAAUUAACAAUGCCACCUGAGGAAACCAAGAAUCCUGCUGAGGAAUUUAACUAUUUAACUGAUAAAAAACCUAGAAGCCGAAAGCCGAUAUUUAUUAAAACAGGAAAUAAAACGACCAGUGAAACCAAUGUUAAUAAAGACAAUUCUGGAAGUCAGAAAGCACUAAAUUUCUGGAAAGAAAUUGAUCGUCAGAAUUCAUUAAAUAAACAUUUGCCGCCCAAGAAUCUUCGUUCAGAGAGUCCUCAGAUGUUUACUAGUCACACACACGUACAAACAAAAGUCUUCCUUCCCAGUGCUAUCCAAACCGAAAGUAACUCAAUCAGUCCCAGUAAUAAUAAGACGAAACUCAGUUCUAGUCAGUUCAGUUCACCAAAGUUCGAGGUCGUUGAAGUACCUUUGAAAGAUGACGUUUCUAUGCUAGGUACUGUUAGCAAAGAAGAUAUAAAACGGAAGUCUGCCAAUUUAGAAGAGGCUUUACAUGAAUUAGAGACAAUAUAUAAUAGCUUGAGGUUAGGAGAUGAGGAUUUGCUCGAAAGAGCCGAACAACGCGAAAAGGAAACACAAAUGAAACACCUGUCUAAAGAUUUGAUGGAUUCUUACCCUAGUUAUACAUCUAGAGGAGCUUUAAGUGAUUCUGGCUUUAGUUACGAACCAUUUGACACUGUAGACUCUCCAAGACGGAAGCGAUUGUCGAAGAAAAAUAAAAUAGAUUUGAAACUGGAUGAUAUGGCAUACAGAAAACUAAACAAAGAUAGAGCGAAUACAAUUGCGGAUCCUCAGUCCGCAAUUUCCCAAAUCAGUUACUUGAUGAGAUCUCCUGUUUUUAAUCGAAACGAGGAUGAAAUGGAGCAGCCUACUACCAUAAACAAUGAGCCCGAUAUAACACUAGAUGACGUGGUAUAUCGGAAUGUGAAACAUUCAAAUAACCUUUUGAAAGUGAUUGAUCCUCAACCACCUUUCGGAAUUCCACUGGGACCAAUAACGCCUGCUGCAAAUAGCGAUUAUUUGCACGCAAAACCAGAAACUAUCUACAAACCAUCGUUUAAACAUAAAAAGAUACCAGACGUUGUAAAGGACGAUUUGGCGUUUAGAAAUCUACGUAAAGAUUCAAACAAAGGUCCAGCAUUACCUCCUCUAACCAGUGAAGAUUUUAGUAACAAUAAUUCAGAUGCAAAUUUGAGCUACUUCAAGAAAAAGAGAGCUCAAAGGUCGAUGUCCGCGAACAUUGGAAAUAUUCUUGGUUCAGGAUCAAUGUCUUCGAGAAACAAUAACGGUGAUGUUGAAAAUGAGUUUAAAACACUGACUGACAUCGCUGAUGCUAUGGAAAUAGCUAGAAGAGUGUUAAAAGAGAAAGAGAAUAAGAUUUCUGCUACCAAAAAGGCUUUUAUGAGUGACACAGACGCUUCCUCUUACUUAUAUCCCAAUGACACCCAUAAAGAAAAUAGACUCAAUUUUUUGAAUGGAUUGAGGCAAAGUACUGUUACUUUCGAUGAGCGAGUGUCCCCCAGGUUAGGGGAUAACUUGUCUUCGAAGCCACCUAGAGGUGUGACACCUGAACGAAGGAGAUCACCGAAGGAAUCUACCCCAAUUCCCGUGUCACCGCUAGAGGAUAAAAGGUAUAUGAACGAGGAUUCAGCUUCGUCUUCUUUUGAUGACUUAUUGAACGCGUUGGCAGAAGAAGCUAAGCAAACUACGGAAAGAAUAACUCAGGAAUUGAAAAAACUUAGCGAGGAAAAGGAUAACGAAAACGCUAGAAAGGCAAAUUCUUUAAAUAAAAGGUUGUCUGAGAUAGAUGCAGUGUCGGAACAGGCAAAGAAAUUGCUAGAAAACGUAGUUGACAGUAGUGAGUUGGUAACUUUGGAAAAAAACGAAGAAGAGGAAGUGAAACAUAUCGAUUUAGAGCCAAUAACGACGGAGUCGGCUACUAUGGUGAUGUCGAGGUUUGAACAUAGAGACCAAGCGAGCACCAAAGACGAAUCUGAGCACGAUUAUGAAAAUCUAUCCUCUGAUAAGGAAAUAAACCUAGAAGAUGGUAUCGUAUCUGCUGGUAUGGACGACAGAGUGAAGAGUCUUUCACCAUUCGAGGAGCACAAAGCGGAACUCAUCGCUAGUUUCCAAGAGCUCAAAGAAAAAGUCGAUGAAAUUAACUUUCCGAUCAAACGAGAAAAUGAAAGUAAAGAUAGUGAAUUGUCGACGAAGAUGGAAUCGAUAUAUGAUAAUCUAGAAAUUGACGAGGUUGCAGGUUUUCCUCAGACAAGACGUCCUCGAUUAUCUAAAUGGCUGCGAUUUUGUUCAGAUGGGAGAUUGCUAGAUCAACGCAGAGAAAUGACUGAUAACCAGGAAGAAAGAAACGAACGAAUUGCCCGCUACAAAGAAGAACGAAGGCGGCAAUUAGCCGAACAGUUUGCUACCCAUCAUUCACCUUCGAGAACAACCAGAAACGUUAACGGUUAUAACAAAGAUGGGGGUUCAUCCAGCAACACCGAAGGCCCCAGACCGACCAGGGCCUCCCAACUGCGAGCCGCAGCAGCCUUAUCUCAGGAAAAUAUUUCUAGUCAGCAGGUUCCAGCUAGUAAAAGUUCUGAGAAAAUGUCCGUAUGUGAUGUAGCCAAUAGCGGAAGCGAGCCAAAGCUCACGGGGUCCAAACGGAUAGAGAGAGAUAAAAGCAACAAGCGGAAGUCGAAUCUGAAUCGUUCACUUAACUCUGAAGAAGUUCCGGAUACCAACAGUGAUAUAAAAGAUCGACGCCGCAGGAGACGCUUUUUCCCUACAGAAGUCUUAGAAUCGUCGUUGGCCACUUCCGGAGAUGACCGAGAAAGAAGCGACUUAAACGCCACUGCCUCUCAAUCCCAAACUUCUACCGUCUCGUCACCAAUCACUGCCUCUUUUUCAUCCUCUUCUACUUCGAAAAUAACUACGCCUAAGAAAUCCGAACUGAGCGUCCACAUGGAAAACGCUCGACGAGGUGUAACUCCAGCUUUUUCAGAAAUGGGAAAGUACAAGCCGUACGCCAAUACCAAACGUGUCGUUACCUCUAGCCCUAAGUCUUCUACAACCAGGUUUAACGCCGACAGCACACAGUCCAGUAAUUCCUUACCUAGAAAAUCGAGUAGUCCUAGUAAUACUAGAGUUAUUGUUUCGGACGAUGAAAGAACUAAAGCCAUCGCUAGUCGAAUGGAAGGGCUUUCAGCUUUAACCAAACAAACUUUAGCGCGAGUCGAAAGAUUAACAAGUAAGACCAGAGAAUCUCCGAGGAAAGAUCUACCAAGGGCACACGAGAGCAGCAGUAGCCCGAUCAAACAAAUAGAUCAAAAAAUGAAGAAAAAGACUCCUGAGAGGUCUCUGCUAUCAUCGAUGCUUAAAAAGAAAUCUGUAGACGAAACCCCAUCAAUUGUCAUAGAAUCUAGUGUUCCAGCUAGUCCUGCUUCUGGACCCGUUUCUAUAUUAAAGAGAAAAGUGUCUCAGGAUGAACAUAAACAGGACGGAAGCCGUCAUUCCUCGACCCAUACGCCUCCAGUAACUUUCUCUCCAAACGUUUUAGAACCUACAACGAGCAAACGGAAACAAGGUAUCUUGAAAAAACGUAGAAGCCUCGAUGAGUCGACUGUAAUGAGGCAUAGAAGUUGUAGUCCAGAUGUAGCUAACAAAGCAGACUCCAGAUCUAUUUUAAAGAAUCAGAGGCGAUCGUCUUUGGAAGAAUUGCGAAGAACUAGAUCACCAGAGACGCCCCUCCAGGGCAUUUUAAAGCGGAGAACUUCUAGACACGAUGAAGACGACCACUCUUUGAACUCUCCACAAAGUAUUCUAAAACGAAAAUCUGGUGCCAGUAGCGCUGGCUCUACCAGCAGUACGCCUCACGUUUCCAUUACCACGGCUGUGAUUCUAGCUGCUGCAGGAGGGGCUGAAAUGGUGCUUGAACCUGAAGCUGACGCCGUCAAACCGAUUCUUAAAAAGAAGAGCUUUUCCGAGGAAUAUUCGCAUUAUUCCGAUACUCCUGUAGAUGUACCGAAACCUAUAUUAAAGAAGAAAUCCAGCACUGAUACUGACGAUUCCGAGGAAAAGCCCAAGCCGAUCUUAAAAUUGCCUAGGACUUCCAUCGAACGAGAUAUCUUGGAAUCCAAUCAGGACUUUAGACCGUUCAAACACACUUCUUCCAGCGAGACUGAAUGCGAAGUCAGACCGAUUCUUAAGCAGAACAGUAGGGAGGAACCGGUCAGACAAAGACUGUCGUUUUGUAGUGAACACACCAACAUUAGAGAUGAACCAAGACCCAGAACUUCCAGAAGGUCGCAUACGAUUUGUACUGAUUUUAACGUAGGGGAUUUUAAUUUAGACACAAGAGAAAGGGAUGAAAUGCUCAAUAAACCGAGACCUUUUUCGGUGCGCGAUUUGGUGAAAUCGUUUGAAACCGAUUGCUCAACCGGGGCUAUACCCAAAAGAAGUAGUUUGAAGAGGAAUAGCGAUAGAUACAAAACGCAACCUAUUACGUCAAAUGAGUUAGAGGCCAGUCGACAUUUGGUUAAAAGUCCGCAGCAGUUUAACGAGGACGAUAUCAAAUCCAAUUUUUCCCAUACGUUCGACGUGCACUCACUGCUAGAUUUCACCACGUCGUUGGAUAAUGACAGCAAUCUAAACAGUUUCUUUUCGUCUUCGUUGCAUAAUCAAACCAAUACAGAAAGCUUCACCUGCGGAAAGAUGUCUUCCGAUUCUGCGUUCCAGUCGUUGGGAGAUGGCCUGGAGUUAGAACAGGACGAAGAUAGUGUACAUGAAUCUGAAAAAGAACAAAUUAAGCCCAAGUCAAAGCAGCCGUCACCUUUGGAGUUACAAAUGAAGGCUGUGGCGGAAGAAGCGAAGAAAAUGAAGCUAGCAAAAGAUGAUGAUGAAGCCGAUGUUUGCAAUAUGAGUUUCGGGGACAGACUAAAGAUGUUCAAUCAGAAAAUAGACCAGACCAUCACCACGAAUUGCAUAAAGCGAACACGUCAUUGUAGAACCCGCUUCGCUACAGACUCGAUAUGCCAAACAGACGUAGACUAUGCACGCAGCUUAUUUGUGAAACCAUCUUACGCUUUAGCCACAGAAGACUUGCACAAUUCGGAAAAACGAAGUAUCCUGAAAAACCCUCCCGAAGCUCCGGCAGUCCAUCAUCGAAACGGCUCACCUCCUCCGAAGAAAUCGUCUCUGAAAAAAUUUAACUCGUUUAACGCUCCCGCCGGUCGCAGGCCUAUUCUAAAGGUCGAAACGUCGCCGGAUAAAGACGACGAAGGCAUCUCGUGCAACGAUUCGGCCUCAAGUUCGGAUUCCGAUGCUUCGUCGAACGCGGCUCGCGAGGGCGCGAAGAGUGACGAACAAAGUGUCGGGAAGAAGGUGGGGAAAUGGAGCGAUAGCACUUCGGAGGGAGAAUCUUCAGGAGGAAGGGAGGUUAGGAGUAUCUUCCAAAACGAGAAUAGACUGAAAAUCAAACAAACUCUGGAGGGCGUUCUGUCCAAGAGCAGAAGCCAAAAUUCAGUAGGUAAUGAUUAUUCGCAACUGUCGCCGAAGAAAACAGUCACCGUCCGGAGAUCUCAAACUCAGAACGAGAUGCCUCAAGCUAUAGCUGACCUACGAGCUAAACUGCAGGAACGGGGAGAGUCGGAAUGGAAGAAGAGAGUGUCCUUGAACAACAGUGCAAGUGACGAAUUGAAAUUAUUAAAGGAGAAAAACAGAUACAAUGAUGAACUCUCUGAAAAAUCCUUAUUGGCGUCGAAGAAAGACGAGCUGGAUGCGGCGUCUAGGCAUUGGAAAUCGAGAGUGGAGAAAUCCGACGCAGAAAAAUUCUCCGUCGCCGGAAAGAUGGGAGAGAAAAUUAAGCAGACGAUUCCUACGAUUAAUAUACCGGCGGCCACAGAUAGCAACAAGAGGACCCCGCAGGCGAAGAGGUUUAAACUGAAGGAUGGUCCAGAUUCAACACCCACGUCUCCAGAAAAAAAUAGUAACUUUGAUCUCACUAGAAGUAAAUCCCUUUCAUAUUCAGCAAGUUUAAUAUCCAAAACAGAAACCGAAACCAGCAAACAUGUCACAAAAUCAGUAUCCGUACUUAAACCAGACGACGAUACCACCUUCAAAUCGUUCUUCAAGAGUUUUGAGCAUUUUGACAACAAAGAGCAAUUGGACGUGUCUCUGGAAGACUUCGAUGCCAUAAAAAGACAACCGUUGUUGGUGAUUAAGAAGAACGUGCAAGUCCAGAGGAGGAGAGGCGCUUCCAAAAAUCCUAUAAAAGUUCUUGCUGCCAGAUCGGAUAUCUCGGAUGAAUAUACCGAAGUUAUCACUGGAGUUGCGGAGAGAGAGAAAAAGAGACUUAAUAUUGAGAAAUUGGCCAAAAAUUCUAAUAAAGCCCUAGAAGCCUUGGCCGGUUUGGCAAGUACAGAAAACUUCAAAUCCGUCGCCUUGAAGAAAUCAACAAAUCCAAUCGGUUGGCAACCCUGGAAAGACGUGAUGCUGUUGCAAGUGAAAGGUAGAAGGCACAUCCAAACAAGGCUAGUGGAACCAAACGCCAGCAGUAUUAACGAAGGCGACAACUACAUCUUAGUCACUUCGAAGGCUCUUUACACCUAUACGGGCGCCUACUCGAAUGUGAUAGAACAAUCCAGGACUUCCGACAUAGUCAACCAUAUCCAAAAGACGGGAGACAUGGGAUGUAAAGUCAACAGGGUACACAGUAUUAGCAGCAAAGAUAAAUCCAAAUACGCUCUGGAAUUUUGGAAGAUUUUGGGAGCGGACAGUAUACCAGAUACUGUAGGAGCUGGACAUCCUGACGAAGACGAAACCUACGAAUCAAAUAUACUCCACACCAACAUGAUAUACACCUUAGAAAACGACGAAUUGGCACCAUACGAGAAAUAUUGGGGAACUAUACCAAAAGUUGAAAUGUUGAAAGAUACUAAUAUCAUAGUUUUUGAUUUUGGUUCGGAGAUGUACGUAUGGAGUGGGAAAAAUGCUGUCCUGGACAGAAAAAAUCUAGCUCUGAAACUCGCUAAAGAAAUGUGGUUUGAGGGGUACAACUAUUCUGACUGCAAUAUUUGUCCGUUGAAUAUUGCUUCCAUUUUAGGCGAGAGAGCACAAGAGUCGUUGCCUCUUAAAGCCGACAAGAGACCCGAAUGGUCUCUCUUUGCCAAAAUAACGCAGCAUCGCGAAACUGUUCUUUUUAGAGAGAAGUUCCUAGACUGGCCAGAUUUUUCUAGGGUCAUUAGAGUAAGGAGCGACGAAAAUAUCAGAGAAGUGAGCGCUUCCAUUGACAUUAAACCAUGUGACGUCGUCGAGAUGGUUAAAGAAAAAGAUAAAGAACCAGAUUUGAUUGUUGAAAAAAACACGCAUUUAGGCCGUGGAGAUUCAUAUUUUGACGAAGAAUCCAGUCGACUUUUUGAGUACGAGUCUCUGAAGAUAAAAGGUUGGCGAAUUUUGGAAAACAGUUACGAAGAACUGCCCGAAAAGUCUUUAGGUCAGUUUUAUGACGCCGACAGUUACAUCUUUCGGUGGGAUUUCAGGCAAACUGUUAAGGGGAGAAGGUUAGGUGGAGAUCCGUCUAAACACUUGGCUGUAGGGAGGGACAGGUGUAUUUUCUUCUGCUGGCAGGGAAGUAACUCGUCAACGAAUGAGAAAGGCACUGCAGCUUUCCUCACAGUGGAAUUGGACAAGCAGAACGCGCCUCAGAUCAGGGUUGAUCAGGGAUCAGAACCAGCAGCAUUUUUGAGGCUCUUUAACGGAAAUAUGAUUAUAAAUAAAGGCAAACGAGAUGGAACUGAAAAAUCAGAUAAGCCUAGUUUGUAUAUCCUGAGAGGGGAAAAAGUUAACGAAAUUUACCUCAUGGAAGUUCCUUUAGCGAUGAGUUCCUUGAGAAGUAGAUCUUCGUUUGUUAUCAUUGAUGUCGAAGGAGAACAGGUAAUAAUUUGGAAUGGUAUUAAAUCAACCGAUCAAAAAAGACUCGUAGCCAAGAGAGCUGUGGAAAAUUUAAUGAAAAAUAAACCUUCCGAACUAAACUUGGACCAAUUCGAUGAGGAUUUAGACAUAAUUGAACUAACAGAAGGUUCUGAAUCAGAAGAUUUCUUCAGCAUAAUCGGCACUGAAGAUAGAAAUAGCUACUACUCGCUACAAAACAACGAAGAAUCCUUUGAUCAUACCAUGAGGCUUUUCAGGAUGAGCAGCAUUACCGGCGAUUUCGUUGCCAGUGAAGUAUUGUGUCCACAUAGAAGUGAACAUUCUAGUCCUUACCCAUUUGUGCAAUCCGAAUUAUAUUCCUCUAGUCAACCAGCUCUAUUUUUGAUCGAUAACCACCACGAACUGUGGUUGUGGCAAGGGUAUUGGCCCGAGAAAGAUGACGACAACGAUUCAGAUUUAAGCGAUCAGACUGGAUCAGGAGCUGUCCGAUGGCAAGCCGAAAGGAAAGCAGCGAUGCAGACAGCGAUAGACUAUUGGAAACAGACUAACGGUGAUAAACCGAUGGUUGGACACUUAGUGUGGGCGGGAUUGGAGCCAUUGCAAUUUAAAAAUAUGUUUCCGGCUUGGGAGGAUAGGCCUGAUGUCAUGGAACUCAACAAAAAGGAAGGUAAAAAUGAAGGCGACAUCUUAUCCAUCGAAAAAGAAUUAGCUCUGCUAUCCCGAACGACAUAUCCUUUAACGGAGCUUCUUCAGAGGCCUUUACCCGAAGGGGUCGAUCCCACCAAUAUCGAAAAAUACUUAUCCGCCGAAGAUUUCCAAGAAUUACUCGCCAUGACCAAAGAGGAAUUCGAAAAGCUUCCGUCUUGGAAGAAGACCGCUCUGAAGAAAGAAAAAGGACUUUUUUGACCGUUGUUUACUUUUUUUGUCGAAUGUCUUAUGAGUGGAUGCUUUGAUUAUUCAAAGCCCAAUGAUUUUAUUUAAUGUUGUGAUUUUGUUCUGUUAUAUUAUGUACUACAAGAAGCGUUGGAAAGCCAAAGUGUGACGUGUGAAGUGUAUAAUUUGAAAUGUGAAUGCGGUAAUAUCACUAGUAUUGUAGGUAACACUGAUUUAUAGCGUCCUGCACCUUCCGGUUCCUAUUUUUCAGCCUCGUCGAUCUUUCAAGUCUCCUACUCGUAAAUCUUUCUCAGACAUUGCUUUUUUGGAUUCCACUUAUACCAGUGGCGGCUCGUAUCACUUUAAGUAGGUAGUGCCAGAAUUCGGGCAGCUGCGUAAAUUUUUAGUGACGGGUUCACGAUAUUGUCAAAAAAGAUAUAAUUAUAAAAUUGUUGAAUGGGUUGCAUGUGAGAGUUCAUUUUAAAUGAAGUAAAAGACAGACGUACUCUCAAUCAUUUAUUGUAACUUCCGACGACCGGUUUCGCUCUCUAAACUAUGCAGAGCAUCUUCAGGUCAACGGUUACAAGUCACUAAAUGAUUCGGAUAUAAGGAGCUACUACCUCAGUAUUCAUUAACAUGAUGUUAUUGCUUAAGUUAUGCUAAUGGGAUAUGGUGGAAUAGACGGAGAAUGUUACAAAGGUAAACAAGUUUAUGGGAUUUGGGAAUUCUUGAGGGUGAAGAGAUAGUUGUUCACACAACUGCUCACAAACACAAUAACAGGCACAGAUUUGUUGGUUGUCUCUCAACAACUAUCUCUUCACCCUCAAGAAUUCCCAAAUCCCAUAAACUUGUUUACCUUUGUAACAUUCUCCGUCUAUUCCACCAUAUCCCAUUAGCAUAACUUAAGCAAUAACAUCAUGUUAAUGAAUACUGAGGUAGUAGCUCCUUGUAUCCGAAUCAUUUAGUGACUUGUAACCGUUGACCUGAAGAUGCUCUGCAUAGUUUAGAGAGCGAAACCGGUCGUCGGAAGUUACAAUAAAUGAUAAAUGAGAGUACGUCUGUCUUUUAGUUCACUUCAUAUAAUUAUAAAUUAAAGGUAUAUAUUAAAGGUAUAUUAUUAUAUUUUACCAUUUCUGGGGUGUCAAGAAAUUUAAACAUUUAAAAUGCAUUCAGUGAUUGAUUUGACAUCAUGUCCGUCCAGCAAGUAAAAUCUCCAACAUCUCUCAACUUGUCGCCCUUUACACAAAUAUCGGAAAAAUAUAGCUAACUGAAAUUCACCAGCGACGUGACGUCUGUCGUUCCAUCGGCAAUCACUGCAACACAAAGAUAAUUUUCAAUUUCUUUACUUAUUUCCUCGUGAUAAACAUCUAACAUGCACUGAAGGAGUUCAUUUUGUGUUGUUUUGAGCUACAUACUUUUAAUAGAUUUGGAACUUUGAAUAUUAACCUAGUCUUUGUCUAAUUCGGCUAACAUUGAACAGUUCCAUAAAGAUGCCUCGUAUUUUCUUAAUUUUCCUUUUGUCGUGAUUUCUCAAAACUAACUCGAAAGCUCCACAAAACCAUAUAGAUAAAAUUUUUAAUUUGAUUCAAAACAUAUCGAUUCUUAUCCACUUCUUGUUCAUUGCGUUUAAUUAGACUAUAUCGAUAAGCUGAAUUUAACUGGGGGUUUAUUAAAAAUUAAAUUUUUUAAAAUUAUUUAAAAAUAUAAUAAUUUAUAAUAAAAAGUUUAAUAAUUAAAAAUGUAAUAAUUAUAAAUACAAAAACGAACGAGCGAGCGUGUAAAGAAACUCGAAAAUAUAAUGUACUACUCUGUACCAGAAUCUUUUUGCAUCUACGAUCCACUAUUCACUAUGAUCAAAGUAAAAAAUAGAUCUUCCUUGUCGAGCCAGGCACGAAUAGUCUCAUGUAAACGUGUAUUAAAAGUGCAAUAUAGCUCUAUCUCUGUCACUUACAUAUAAUGCCCGUAAAAUCUUUCUCUUUUCAGGCAAGCCAUCUAAGAUUUCGGCACGAUCAUCCCGGCCGCUGUGAGUGGCGACGGUUGUAUUACACUACACAGUUGCCAGAUUUUAUAUAAUUUAUAAAGAGAAAAGAAAUACGCACAAACAAAUGAACGGGCAUUAAGACGGUUUAAUGAUAAAAAAAUAUGUUUCUGCAUAAAAAUAAGAUAGUGCCAUGACUCCAUGGCACUACCUCACCGGCCGCCACUGACUUAUACAGGUAGUCUUCGGUCUGCUUUUCUUUUUUUCCGGGGGUUGCCAUUCCACUCUCGGCUUUGGGAGUCGAUGUUUCUCCAUUCUUUUUACAUUGCCACUCCAACAAAGUUGUUUUUCCUGGAUUUCUUCUAUUAUGUUUGUUUUCCUAUUCAUUGUAUAUCGUACUCGUUCAUUCGUUAUGUGUGAGACUCUAGAGAUGCAGGCCGAUCUUCGCCAGAAGUCCAUUUCCAGUGCGAGCAACUUAUGUUCCGUUCCCUUAUUCAGCUGCCAGGUUUUAUAUUCCACACUUUUUAAGAUGCUAUUAUAUAGCUGUGUUUUCUUUUCUUCUGAUAUGGUUUUUGACCAAAGUAGUGAGUUCAAAGCUCCUAUUAUUCUUCCCUUUCAUAAUUCUUUCCUCUAUUUCGAAUUCUGCCCUUCCAAUUUGUUGAAUUCUCUUUCCAACAUAUACAUAAUCAGAGCUUUGUUCGAUAACCAUAUCAUCCUCUAGUUGUGACUCAUUUUUCUCUCCUCCUAUACUCAUAUAUUUGCUUUAGGCCCCAUUUUUUGUAUUCUCGUAACAGCCGGUUUGUCAUACAUAUUAGAUCAUCUUUAUCCUGGGCAAUCACCACCUGAUCUUCAGCAAAAUGUAAUGUGUAUACUGUUGAGUCGUCGUUUAGCUGUAUCCCUAUGCCAGAAGAUGAUUUCCGCCAUUUUUUCAAGACCUCAUUUAUAUGGCUUUAAACAGUGUUGGCGAUAAGCUCCAUCCAUGUCGUAGUCCUAUUCCGUUGGUGGAUGUGUUGACGGAAACAAUUAUAUAAAUAAUAUUAAUUAAAACGCAAACAAUUGUCAAUAAUAUACUUAUUUAUUUUUGGGUAAACAAACGUGCUUCGUUUAUUAUCUCGUAAGGGUUUUGUUGUUGUUUUAGCGAGGGUGUGUCUGAACCGCGCGCCUGCUGUGUCGAUACUGAAUACUGCGAGACCACCACACUCGAUUAUGUCACCACGCUUGCGGUUUUACAAUAUGGCUAGAAAGGCAAUAAAUUACUACAUCUGCGUUUUAAAAAGAUGAGAACCUUUCUGUAUUUUAAAAAGUUGACAUGAGCGUGGCAAUCUGGCGUCGAAAUCUAUUAGUGUUUCCUUGAAAAAAAAAAAACAUUAAUUUUAUACAAUCUGCUUAGGGAUACAUUUCGUUUCUUAAACUUAACGGCCCUUGUUAGCAUAUGGUUUGUAUAUUAAAUGUGAAUUUAAAAUCACUAAUGUUAUUUCGUUUUGAGAAAGGUUAGUAAAAAUUUAGCAAAAAUAGUAAUUAAAGCGUAUCGCUAUAGUCCCUUAUUCACCAUGAAGCUGUCGGAUAAUCUGUUAUUGAUUUUUAUGUUUGAUUGGGUGUUAUAGAAUUUCUGCACUGCUUUUAUUAAAGUUAUAUUAAUAGGGAAUUUUUCCAUGACUUGCUAUAAUUUACACAGUGACACUGUAUCAUAUAUCUUAAAAGAUCGACGAGAGAUCGACGGUGUAUUUCUGUCUCUGGCUACUUUUUUUUCAUGGAGUUGGUUUUGCGUGAACAUGUGGUCGAUGCAGGAUCUUCCUGCUCGGAAUCCUCUUUGUUGAUCGAUCUCUAAAGGACAGCAUUAGAGUUUUGAAAGUUUUUCCAUAUAAUCUCCUAAUACAACAAUUUUUCGUAAUAUACAACUAGUAUUAUCGCAUUCACAUUUCAAAUAAAGCACCAAACCUUUUAAAAUAUAUACUCGGGUGACUCAGUUGUUUACAGUUUGUUUUUUCUAAAUUUCUUGUAGUUACUGUAGUGGUGAUAUAUAUUUUGUCUUUUUUAUUUUUAAAACAUAUCAAAUUUUAGUGGCUUCAAAAACUCUUAACCAAAUUGCAAAGUGUCUGCCAUAUUUUUGUAAAACUUAAUAUUCUAAAUUUGAUAUAAUCACGUCAUCAUAUUGAUAUAAAUGGUGUUAAAAAAAGUUAUAGCGACAUAGAUAGUUAUAGCAAUAUAGAAACGUUUAUUAAAACGUUCCUAUGUUGCUAUAAUUUUAUGACUGGUUUGUCAAAGACUUGUUAUUUCCACAUUUAUCUAAUAAAGCGACAACUUUUACAACUUUAAAGUUUAACACGUUAAUUAUCCUUACUGUUUGUGUCUAGUUUCAUCCAUUUUUUAGAAAUAUAUCUGCCCCUUUUUUUCACUGUUCUCUUCCAAAUGUGGUUUUCGUUAAUCUGAUGCCAUAUUACUCCUUGAUAUGAUCGUUCCCCAUUCUCUUUUUUAUUUCAAAAGUUUUACUACUUAUGGAUCAUUUGACAUUGUUGACUUUCCCACGCUACGCACUGAAAUAUUGUGUCUUCCAGAGUCUUUAGCUACCAGGGGCUCUUUGGGAGUUGAGGCUUGCUGUAGCGGUUACGCUGCUAAUUAAAUAAAUUCAAUUAAAAUUCCAUUCAAAUACCCCUCAAGAAAUUCCGUGUGAGACGCUCGCGACCGAUCCUACAACGACCUAUCGCUGCACAGGCGCGCCAAGUGGAACAAAAUCGAUUUAAUAUCGAUAUCUCGAUUCCUGAUAUCGAGUUUGACCAACCGCUGGUUCAGAUCGACAAAGUCGAUUUUGUUCCACUUGCCGCGCCUGUGCAGCGAAAGGUCGUUGUAAGAUCGGUCGCGAGCGUCUCACACGGGGUUUCUUGAGGGGUAUUUGAAUGGAAUUUUAAUUGAAUUUAUUUAAUUAGUAGCGUAACCGCUACAUUGGCUUCAAGAUGUACUUAAACUUUUCCUACUACCAUACUGCAUAGGUGCUGCUUAGGCUGUUGAGAUUGAUCUUUGUUUUGAUCGCUGUUAUGACUAAUUUUCAAUUAGUUCCUCUUCUUCGUCAGUCACCGGAUGGCAAAGGCUUUGUUUGCUUCUGCUUUAUUCUUGUGCCACGAGAUAAGUAUGGCCGCUCCAGGCAGAGCCUCAUGACGAAAGAAGAUUAUGCCCUGAGACCAAGAGUUAAGGCGACCUUCUUGAGUUCCACAGUUGAGUAUACAGUUCUUCCCCACAACGGUCAAGAAUAAAGUGCUACGGCUCUCAGAGGAAACUUUACAUAGUAGCAAGGCAUUUUCUCAACUCAGGCUACAAAAAAAAAACAGAAAUUCGACUUUUGAAAAGAAACAAGGGAUUAAAAAAGUUAUAUUUUGUCUGAAUGUGAUUGAGGCGUUAACAUUUGCGUUUAUUAUUGUCGUAGAUGUUACUAAAGGACAUUUAAAUCAAUAUAAGAAAAAAUUGAAGUAAUAGUCAAAGUUAGAGAUGUAUUAAUAAACUGUUGAUUUAACAUAGCUUUCAGAAACCGGUUAUUAGUGUGUUAUGAAAGGGCAAUUUUGUAAAAUAUGGAUAUCAUUGUUGUAUCAAUGCCUCUUAGAGAGUCUUAAUUAAUCAACACAAAGUUUAAAGAUAUUUUACAAAAUAUCCUCACAUUUUUUUACUAAUUAGAUAAUUAGGUGUGGACGUAUAAACAAUUUUGAAGCAUUUUUGAGCUUAAUAAGGACGUUUUAUAGUUUUUUACUGUUUUUUGAAACUGCCAUUUAAGAAAUUAGCUUUUGUAUUUACAUCAAGUGAGUACUUAAUUCGUUUGUUUGAAAAUCAAAUAAAAGAUCAAAAUUUCUUCAGUUGUGGUAUAAUUUUUGUUGUUAUAGGUAAUUAUUUUCUUUAUCAAUUUUGUUUGAAAGAACAUACGAAACUGAAUCUUACAAAUAACUUCGCUAAAACAACUAUGCUAUAAAAAUAGGUUAUUUUGAGGUAAUUUUUACAGUUUCUUUUAUUUACUUAAUAUAAUUCCUAUCCUUUGCCAAGGCCUUAAUUUUCUAACACCUCUGACAUUCCCUUAUGGCUUUGUUAUACUUCUUAUGUAGGGUUUUUCUUCCUUGUCGAUAAAGUGCACUUUCUUUACUUGAGAGUUCCAGCCUAAAACUGGUCUAGGAUCCUUUUAGCUGUCGAUUGCUAUCAGCCCAUUUAUCCCCAGUUCGUGAUCAAUACUUGCUUAUUUGCGGAAGCCUGCUCUGUGCUAUGUCAUUCAUUUAUUCAUUCAUUAAGCAUUACACUCCCUAGGGAUUGUAAAUAACGUCAUGGCGUUCAAAAUCCUAUUCCUGGUUGCGGUGGAUUACUCAUCUAUGUCAUUUAUAGCUUGCUGUGUCUUUUCUGCUGUCGUGACCCUUUUCCAUUUUUUCCUGUCCUUGCACUAAACUUUCUAGUCUUUAAUAUUCAUUGUUCUUAAACCUUCUAAAUCAUCCAUCCAUCUUCUUCUAUUCCUUCCUCUACACCUGUGCGAUAGUGGUGGUUGUUUUCAUUCUUAUUUCUCCCUCUUUUGUUACAUUGUGGUCCAGUAUCGUUCUCAUUAUUUUUCUUUCAACUUUCAGAAGGCUAUCUUCCUCUUUCUGGUUAAUAGUCAUUGUUUCCAUCCCAUAUGUAACAACAGGUCUUAUUGUUCAUCUUAGAAUCUUGCUUAUCAGCAGAUGUCCAAUAAUAUAGCUCUGCGAUAUUCACCUUGUUAGGCCACCAAAUUAUAAUGAUAUUAUGAAGGCACCUACAUAUAUGCAACAGAAACUUGAAUCUUCAAGCUUGUUUCCAUAUCUUACAGUUAUUCAGGAGAACCCACUUCAUGCGGAAGUUGUGCAGAGCAUCCUUAAUUCUUUGUAAUCCUGCUCUGUACUUUUUAAUCAACCCUUCUAUUUUCUUUCAGCGUAAAGCUAAACUAAGAAAACUAAGAAAAAGUGAAUGUGUCCCAGAUGCCAAGACUUUCGAUCAUUCGUCAUACCUGGACAACCAAUUGCGUUAAAGGAAAGAGGUCACAUGUUCCGUGGGUGGUGUGUUGACGGAAACAAUUAAAUGAAAUUACAAUAAGUGUAAGACAACGAACAAUAUAUUUAUUUAUUUUUGGGUAAAAAGUCGUGCUUAUAUCUCGUAAGAGGGUUUGUUAUUUUUUGCGGGACGACGGUUUGUGUCAGACUGCCUGUGGAUGAACUAAAAACAUUAGUUUUACAUUUCUGUGGUUUUUAAAGAAGUUGAAGACUGAUUUAUUGACAUAAGGAGGCUGGCCCUUUAUCGUCCCGUAAUCUAUUAUGGAAUUUGCGUUUCCCAUACAUAAACUGAACAGGCCAUCAACAUCUUGUGUUUUAAAAGCUGAGAAGGCAUUUUUUCUGAAUACUGAUUUAUUUCGUUUCUUAAAAUUUAAGAGGCCCUUUAUGCAUAUGGUUUGUGAAUUUUAAAAUGGGACGUAUUAUUUAAUUUUGAAAAAGUUAUUAAAAAUUAAAAUUAGCAAAAUAGUAAUUGAAGCGUGUCGCCACAGUUGCUACAUUGAUAAAUUAUCUGUGCACACCUGUGCACCACUUAUUUAUCUCAAAUGAAGAAAAUAGAUACAUAAAACGGCAUCAAACACAUAUCAUCAUAAGCCUCUUCCUCGUGUCUCCAUCCCCGUCUAUUCUGCUCCGCUCUCAUCCAGCUUUUUAUCUAGAUUUUUCCAAUAACCCCUUUAUCCAUCGCCCUCUAUCAUUCUAGCUAUGUGUCCUGCCCAUCUCCAUUUUACUCUGGCUAUGCCAGUCACCUUGGUUCUUCUUCUGAUGUUUUUUUAUUUUAUCUCGCAGAGGUAUUCGUAACAUGGAUCGCUCCAUUCAUUUCUGCGCGACUCUCAGUUUCGUAACCAAGGCUUACCUUAAGGUAAGUGUUUCUGCCCCGUAUAUCAGUACUGGGAGGACGCAGUGAUUAAAUACUUUACUAGAGGCAUGUAGGCUGCUCAUUUUUAGAAGUUUUUUUCAGUUUAUACAGGGUGAGUGGGGAGGAACGCGCCAAACGUUAAGACUGUAUAAUAUACGUAAAAAUAAUCAAAAAUAACUCAUAUUCGAUUUUCAUUUGUUUCUGAGAUACGGGGAGUUAAAAUUUUUAUUACAAACUGACGAUUUAUUUAUUGCUCUAAAACCGGUUGAGGUGUGCAAAUGAAAUUUGGUGGGUUUUAAGACAUAGCUAUUGCGCAUGUUUUGACACACAAUUAAGAAUUUUAUAUUCACCAUUGGCGCGCGUACGGGUAAUAGUCUGAAAUUUUUUAAAGAUAAAAAUGGUACGGCACUGAAAUAUUUCAAAUUAAAAAGCUUUCUUCAAUUCCUCGUUCAAUUUGUGACAAAAAAAUCUAUCUUCCCUUUUUUUCAUGCGACGCUUAGUUUUCAUGCAAAAAAUAAAACAUCUUAACGCUUACAAAGUUUUCGACGAAGUUUCUAUAUGAAUGUGUAGAAACUUAUUUCGAAUACUUUGUAAGCGUUAAGAUAUUUUAUUUUUUGCAUGAAAACGAAGCGUCGUAUGAACAAACAUGAAGAUAGAUGGUUUGUCAGAAAUUGAACAGGGAAUUGAAAAAUAAUGUUUAAUUUGAAAUAUAUCAGUGGCGUACUAUCGGUACGCGCGCCAAUGGUGAAUAUAAAAUUCUUAAUUAUUGUGUGUCAAAAUAUGUGCAAUAACUAUGUCUUAAAACCCACCACAUUUCAUUUGCACACCUCAACCGGUUUUAGAGCAUAGAUAAAUCGUCAGUUUCUAAGAAAAAUUUUAACACCCCAUAUCUCGGAAACAAGUGAAAAUCGAUUAACAACGUAUGAGUUAUUUUUGAUUAUUUUUACGUAUAUUAUACAGCCUUAAAGUUUGGCGCGUUUCUUCCAACUCACCCUGUAUAUGCUACCCACCAAGACCGAACAGACACAUAAAUUCAUGAAAUUCUCUCAGUUUUUCAUAUGCUGUCCACCCAAGGCUGAUCAAACACAUAUAAAUUCAGAAAAUUAUGCAAAAUCGUACACGUUUUUUUAUAUACGGGUUGAUCGAUCUUAUAUAAGAUAAGGUUCUUCUUUUUAAUUCUAUUUUAAAUUCUUCUGGCCGAGCGUCUUCUUCUUAGGUUGAUAUUAUUGUUGCUCAUCUGUUUUAAACUUUGUAACUGUGUUUAGUAGCAAGUUUUCUAUGCUCUACAUGUUACAGUUGAAACUUUUUGUUAAAUUGACUUUGAAAAUAUAUUACUUUAUUCACUGGUUAUCAAUUAUCUUGUAACGCUAAUAUCUACGAACAUAAACUUACGUGCAUAGAAAUCGGCCCACUUAAAUAUUUGGUCAUUUUUGAUGUCUAAUAUUUCCUAAACCUGUCGGUCGAUUUAUGUGAUUUUUUGAACAUGUUAUAGCCUGAUUCCUUAACAAUACCACUGUAAUAAUAUUGUUGCCAAAGAGGUAAAUUUUCAUUGUAUACCGGGUGUACCAAUCAAACUGUGUUUUUUUCUCAAAGUUCUCAUCGCCCUGUGGAAUAUUCUAGCAUUUAUAAAAUACUGAAAUUAAAACCCAACUAUAGCCUCAGGUUCUUUUAACAUUCCGUUUUUUGAUUCAUUCGUUUAUGUUGGAUAAUAAAAAAGGUAGGUACUUUAACAACUAGACAUGUUCUUUAUCAAUACACGUGUUUCUAAAUAAGUGCGACAAACUUUAAGGGGCAAUUCUGCAUGAAAAAAUAAUGACCGUUUGCAUCAUAAACGUAUGUCCGCAAAUGUUUCGUUUACGAGAUACGGGAUGUUGAAUUUUUUCUUACAAACUGACGAUUUAUUUAUUGCUUUAAAACCAGUUGAGAUAUGCAAAUGAAAUUUGGUGGGUUUUAAAACGUAGUUAUUGGACAUUUUUUGACAUACAAUUAAGAAUUUAAUUUUCACCAUUAGCGCGCAUACGUGUAAUAUGACCGAUCAUAUUACCCGUAUGCACGCUAAUGGUGAAUAUAUAAUUCUUAAUUUUAUGUCAAUAAAUCCGCAAUAACUAUCUCUUAAAACUCACCAAAUUUCAUUUGCAUAUUUCAACUGGUUUUAAAGUGAUAAAUAAAUCGUCAGUUUAUAAGAACAAUUUCAACAUCCCGUAUCUCGGAAUCGAAACAUUUGCGGACAUACGUUUAUAAAGCCAACUAUCAUUAUUUUUUAAUUCAGAAUUACCCCUUAAAGUUGGCGUUACUUAUUUAGAAACACCGUGUAUUGAUGAAGAACAUGUCUAGUUGUUAAAGUACCUAACUUUUUUAUUGUCCAACAUAAACGAAUAAAUCGAAAAACAAAAUGUUAAGAAAAUCUGAGGCUAUAGUUGAGUUUUAAUUUCAGUAUUUUAUAAAUGCUAGAAUAUUGCACAGGGCGAUGCGAACUUUGAGAAAAAAAUCAAAGUUUGGUUGGUACACCCGGUAUAUAAUGAAAAUUUACCUGUUUAACAACAAUAUUAUUACAGUGGUAUUGUUAAAGGAUCAGGCUAUAACAUAUUCAAAAAAUCACUUAAAUCGGCCAACAGGUUUAGGAAAUAUUAGACAUCAAAAAUGACCAAAUAUUUAAGUGGGCCGAUUUCUAUGCACGUAAGUUUAUUUUAGUACACUUAUAUUCGUGGUAUGUGGUUUGGAAGAUUCAGUUUUGUAAAUUUUUUUGUAAACAUUUUCCUUGAAGUGUAACCAAAAUUUUCCAAGCUUACCAGAUGACCUAAAUGUUCAUAACUGGAUUUUUAUUACAUUGACAUUGCAAAUAUUUUCAGGUCAUUGUUUGGAAAAUAUGCAUAAAUAGUUUUUUAUUCUGGUCUUCUGGAUAAAACAUUUACCAUCGUCGUAUAUCAUUUCGGUUUAUCGUAAAUGGUGUUGUUAUGAUGAACAAGUGUAAAAAAGUAUAAACUGGAGGUGUAGUAGGUAAUAUUGGAUAAUUUGUUGACAAUUUGGUAAUCUAUAUGUGGAAAUUACAAGAAAGUGCUUUGGUCCCUUCUAGUCUGCCCAAAACAUAGACCGUAACAUUUUCACUUCAUCUACUUCUAUCUUAUUUUCCUGAACGCUCUUUGCAUUUCACACUUCACCGCCGUAACCCAAUGCUGGUCUCACGUCUCUUGUAUAUCUUUUCUCUCAGCCCUCUCCCGAUUUUUUGAUCACAGAGUACACCACUCAUUAGCUUCCAGAUAAAUCAACUAACCUUUAUCCUGUGGGCUAUGUUUCGGUCUAGUGUCUCAUUUUCCGUUAUGUAGGAGCCAUUGUAUUUAAAUUCUCCUAUUCGUUCUAGUUUUCCCAAGCAAUUCGUUGUUCCCCACAAUUCCUGUACGUCCAGAUCACAUAUACUUUGUUUUCGACCUGCUAAUCUUAUAUGUCUUCCCUUUCAAUAGCCGUUCUCCAACUCUCGAACAGUUUUUUUCUCCUCCGCUAAUAUAGGACAAUAUUCCAGCUGUGUCCCGGAAAAUAGUGCGUUCCUUUAAGGUAUGGAUAGAAUACACAAUUAGAACAAAAAAGUUCAGUAACAUUUUUUUCUAAAGUUAACUGUUUCCAAAAAAAUAUUACAUUGUUUUACGUAUUUUAAUGUUUAGAAAUUUAAAUAGCCUGGUAAUAUCAUACGCACUACGGAAUAAUAACAGAUAAUAAGAACUGGCUUGUGAUUUUUUACAGUACAUAUUUAAAAUAAUCCAACCUAACAGUACUUGUGCAUUUACUAUUAUUUGUUUUUUUUUGUUAUUUGUUUACUAUAAUUAUUUAGAUACACAUACACAUACAUAAUUUUAAACGAAUUAUACAUCUUUUCACAUAAAAACACAUCUUUUAACUGAACUAGUAUUAUGUAUUUAGUAAGUUUUAAAUGUGUUGAAUGCUGAGGGCUUUAACAUGAAAAUUAAAUACACCAGAUUAAGUUGUACUUACUUGAAUAUAAUUAUUAUAACCAAUAAAUGUUCAUGUUCAAAGUAACUCACUUUCACGAACACAUACAUUCAUACGACGAGAAAUACCGGAAAAACACUUUGAAAGAAAUUAUAGUAUGUAUCUAGUGAUCUGCCAUAAAUAAUCAAAAUAAUAACAUAAUAGGUAAUGAAGUCACGAUUCGAAAACAUUUUAGGCAUUGACACUAAACACGAUUCUUUCAAACUAUCCAUGUAUUUACUAAACAUAGGACUGUCUACGUUUAAAUUUUCAUACCUCACAGUGUUGCCAGAUUUUAAUUUGCAUACCAAAAUGUAUUUUAAUUUUUUGGUCAAACGGUACCAUUUAGAAAAAAAUGUUAAAAGAGUUUUUUGUUUUACAUGGUGCUCUCUACCUACACCUUUAAGGAACGCACUAUUUUCCGGGACACCCUGUAUAAACAUGUCUGUAAUUUCACCUUAUUUCAUAAUUUAUAUUGUAAAUAUCUGAUCUAAAGACUUCCCUUAGUUUUCUGUAAGCUGCCCAUUGCCCAUGUUAGUCCUAUUCUCCUGUUUAACUCUGUUGUCUGAUUGUCUCUUCACAAUUUAAUCUCGCGGUCCAGAUAUUUGUUAAAUUAGUUGAGAUGUUUUUGGCCAGUACAAGGUUGGUCAUGUCAGAUUGUGUUUUAGAAACGUCAAUUUUAAGGCCAACUCGUGUACAAGAGCCAUGAAGUUGGCAGGCAUGAUACCCCCUGUCUGCAAUAAGUACUAUGUCGUCUGCAAACGUCAAGUUGUUUAGAUACUCCCCAUGUAUGUUGACUCCAAUAUUUUACCAAUUACUGUUCCUCAUAACACUUUGUAACAAAGCGAUGAACAAUUGAAGAGAGAUGGUGUCCCUUGCCUAAUACCCCUCUUCAAGUGAAAUGUGUUUGUGUCCCCUCAGUAGAUUCUCACGGCAGCUGUUAAUCUGUUAAUAUAUGUUACGAAGAAGAGCUCUUUAACUACGAUCAAUGCUGCAUUCUGUAAGUGCUUUUAACAAUGCUGGACUGAAUCAAACGCUUUCUCAAAGUCUUUAUGCUCAUACAGGUAAAUAAUAUAUGAUUUUUACAUUUACCAUAGACAGAAAAAUUGUAAUAAUAUUGUAAACUAUAAUAAAAAGUUCUAAAAACAAACAAUUACAAAAUUAAUAAUAGCUGUAGUCUAUAUUCUUUAUUAAUUACUAUUUCUACAAGUUUUUUCAAAGGUCUAGAGUGGUAAAUGUUAAACAAAGAAUUCUAUUUGAUGAAAAUCUUCAUAAUGAACUAAAUGAACGCAUUCUUGAGACUGGAGAACAAAAAGAUGAGUUUGUUCAUCAUAUUGCACCGUUAUAAUGAACCGAUUUGAUAUAAAAUUUCUAAAAACUAUAAAAAUAUUUUAACUUUAUUUUAUCUUCUAAUAUUAUCUGUGAUUAGGCUAUGUAUUUAUGUUGUAACUUGUAUAUAUUAUACCCAAAGUGUAUAUAAAAGAGGUGCCUUGUAAUUUUUCGGAAUUGAGAGCACUCAAUAGAUUUUUGAGUCGCUGAACAUUUCUAGUCUUUGUGAUCCUCACGGCACUGACAUUAUUAAGUUAUUAUUUCUGAGAUUUUUCACACUUUCAAAUUUUAAUUUAUUUGUAUGAUAUCGACAUGUUUAAAAUAGUUUUUAGAGUUAUCUUUGAAGGUUAUCGAAAUUUUUAGUUUUAACAAAUUGGCGUCAAAGUGACAAUUUUUUGGCAGAGUGUUCCAAUGAAUGAGCGAAAAUCACUUGACUGGGUCCUAUUUUACUCAAGUUUUAUUGAGUUUGCAUCAACUUCUGAACAAAGACCUCCCUGUUUUGUGCUAUUUGGUCGCAUUUUUUUCUCCUCACACCUGUCUAAAAAUUUAUUAAUAAAUAAAUAGUCAGUGGGGAAUAUUUAAUCUUUUUCCUAUGCCCCGGGUUGGGCGCCUACGUAAAAACACACAUUUUUUUUCAAAUUUAUUAGUAAAGAGAAUCUUUUUCUGCCCACUUCCAGAAUAUUUAUCAUGUUUGUUCUAUCCUGCCAAAAAUUAUUAUCAGUAUGAAUACUACACCGCUUUUUUCCACUUUUUGGAAUUGUUAUUCUCAAUUAGUGUAUUGUUUUAAUUCAUAAGUGUUAAAUGUCUUAAAUUUAUAAUCUCAUAUUAUGUAUUCUCAUGUUGACAUUCUUACCGUCUGGAGAUAAUUUGAAACUUCUUCUGAUCCUUUUUUAAGACUUAAUAAGAUGAAAUAUUGAACGGAUGUAGACUUGCACACUGUUCUCAAUAGUGUAUCCUUCCUUCUGUGUCUACCGCCUCUGUUUAAGUAUCUGCAAUUUAAAUAUUAUAAUUACACAUACAUAUAAUUUCAGCUUAUGUAAUUUCAUAUUUGUGUGUAAAUUAUUUUGCCAAAUAGCCCGGUCAAUGAGCACAAAAGUUUGCCAAAAAAAUAAAUCAAGAAUGAAAGUUUAUUAUACAUUUCUAAAAGAAUAUAUAAGUUGAAAAUGUUUUAUCGAAAAAAAGAACAAUACCAAAGGACCUCCAUUUUACAAAAAUGUUGCGAAAAGAGUUGACUUAUGUAUUUCUUGUAUUUCGUAAAAUAAUUAAAAACACAAUUUUUUUGACAAUUAUAUUGGCACUUUGCUUUAAAAAUUGGUCUUCUUAUUUAUUUUUCAUUAUUUUACAAAAUACAGCCCAAUAUAUGAAAACUCAACCUUUCUUGAAAAAUGUUUGCAAAACAGAGGUACCUUAGGAAUGUACACUUUUUUUAUUUAAUAAUAGACACUUUCAUCUACCUAUUCUCAAAUUCUCUUCCUUAAUUUAUUUUAUUUGGAUCAUAGAGUUCUUUGAUCGGGCGAAAAUGCCAUUUUGGAAAUUUUAUGCACUCUUCUCGUAUAUUUUAUUCCAAUGAUUUUUUCGCUUUCAAAUAAAGUCGGAUUUUCAGUUAUUUUUGCACCUUGUAUUUAGAUUCUUUUAAGAGUUUCCAGUUUCCGAAAUGUUUAUUUGUAGAAGAUAUCAACAUUCUUUCUCAGUUUUUACAGCCAAAUUGUCAAAAUUAUUAAUUUCGAAAAACUUAUCCCAAAAAAGUUUUCAUAAAUAUAUAGAAUAAUAAAUAGAACAUUAUUUGUAAAUAACGCACAUCUUUAUGUAAAAUUUGACGCUAUUAAAUAAUAAAAUAAUCCAAAUUUAACGUAAUAUUUCCAAUAGGGCCAAUCCUAUUAUUUUACAUAUGAUCAGUUUUUUUAUUAUUCUGUAUAUUUUGACAAUAUUGUAAUCGAAGUCUGUAAAAUUCGUAUUGUAUUUAAGUCUUUUCUAUACUAAAAUAAGAUCAUACAUUUGUAAUUAUAUUGUUGUGUACUCUCAUAACCUUUUUGAUUAAUAAAUAUUUUCACAGAAAUCAGA